rnacentral:rRNA from 1 species
UGAGGGAGGAGGCUCUUGGGUCGUAAACCUCUUUUCUCAGGGAAGAACACAAUGACGGUACCUGAGGAAUAAGCAUCGGCUAACUCCGUGCCAGCAGCCGCGGUAAUACGGAGGAUGCAAGCGUUAUCCGGAAUGAUUGGGCGUAAAGCGUCCGCAGGUGGCUGUGUAAGUCUGCUGUUAAAGAGUGAGGCUCAACCUCAUAAGAGCAGUGGAAACUACACGGCUAGAGUGCGUUCGGGGCAGAGGGAAUUCCUGGUGUAGCGGUGAAAUGCGUAGAGAUCAGGAAGAACACCGGUGGCGAAAGCGCUCUGCUAGGCCGCAACUGACACUGAGGGACGAAAGCUAGGGGAGCGAAUGGGAUUAGAU